AUCGCUUCUCGGCCUUUUGGCUAAGAUCCAAGUGUAGGUAUGCGUGUUCUUAUCAGUUUAAUAUCUGAUACGUCCCCUAUAUGGGGACCAUAUAUUAAAUGGAUUUUUGAAGCGCGGAGCUGGAAGCGGGGCUUGCUCCGCCCACUCCACGCAUCGACCUGGUAUUGCAGUGUUUCCAGGAACGGUGCACUCCCC